rnacentral:lncRNA from 1 species
CACAUACACACAUACAGGCACACACACAGAUCCGGGUGGGGGGAGCGCCAGCGCGAGACAGCGUGAGCCUCCGAGAAAGCGCGAGACACGCCGGCGGGUGCAGCUCCACGGCGGCCGCUGCGCCCCGGCUAGAGCCCCGCGCCACCCGCCACCCGCCAGCGAGCGCCAGUCCCGGUUAUUUAUGCGGCGGCCGCGUCCGCCGGCUGCAGCUUUCUGCGCUCCCCCCACGCCCCCGCCCCGGCGCGCCCCGCUCUCGCAGCAGCAGCUGUGGGGACUCGGCGCGUGGGUGUGUUCUUUGGGGGCAUCUGCCUUGGCGGCACGGGUGCCACCUCCCGGGACGCUGCCCACGGCGUUCCCGGUCGCGGAAGAUGGGGCUGGAGUUUGCCAUCCCGGACCCUCUGUCAAAUUGCCUGUGAGCUUGAGUAUAUGAAAAGAGAGUAAUCUGAGACACAAAUCAGAAAGGUGGAUGAGAAGUUUUCUGUUUGAGAUGAUGAAAAAGGAGGGGCAAAGAAUAUUGGUGAUAGUAUCACUGCAUUUGAAUAUAAUUAAUACUACCGAAUUGUGUACUUGAAUUUGGUUCAAAUGCACUGCAUUUAAAGUGCAUUGCAGUGGUUACUACAAUUUUUUAAAAAAGGUGAACUGCUAAGAACAAAUUGCCAGUUUGAAGGGAUUAGGCUGAGUUGGAAUAGAAACUGAGGGAGGCAAGAAAAGAGUGAAAA